GUGACGUGUCGCAACUGGCGUUGGGUGGGGUGAACCACCGGGGAGCGACACAGGAACACACCACGGACCGCGCGCCUGGGUCUAGGGA
rnacentral:ncRNA from 2 species